GCAAGCAUGUCUAACUACCCUGAGAUUCCUUGCUGGAGGAGUGCUCCCAUUAACCUCCCAGCUAUUUCAGCCAUCACAGAUGAAGCACCGGGCAUAGCUCUUCACACAAGACUUUUUAAAGAAGCCUGCCAUACUCUCCUAACAUAGGGCAUAGUUUGCAUGGCCAUAACGCACUUCUAAAGAUAGUAAAAACUUUGGAAGUCCAACAGAAGAAUUGCUUUGGUGCCACAGUAAGAGACAAAAUGUUAAGAUAUUAAGCUACCAUCGAUGUUUUCUGAUACACAGAAGAAAAAGCAGCAUAGAAACGCAGGCUCUUCUGUCAACCACCAGAUCUGCAACGCCCGUCAUGGGAAGCCGUGCUGUCACAAGAGUAGACUUCUAGGUGUUCCCUAACUCAGUCUCUCGUGUCUUGAGAAGUGGCGUUUACACCUCGGCACCAAAGGCAAAAUGGAUGCUUAUUGAAGGCGUUUUUGUUUUGUUUUGUUUUUUACCU